CUGGCGGCAUGCCUAACACAUGCAAGUCGAACGAGACUUCGGUCUAGUGGCGGACGGGUGAGUAACGCGUAGGAACCUGCCAAGUAGUGGGGAAUAACAGUUGGAAACGACUGCUAAUACCGCGUACGCCCUUCGGGGGAAAGAUUUUAUCGCUAUUUGAGGGUCCUGCGUUCGAUUAGCUUGUUGCGGGGUAAUGGCCUACCAAGCCGACGAUCCAUAGCUGGUUUGAGAGGAUGAUCAGCCACACUGGGACUGAGACACGGCCCAGACUCC
rnacentral:rRNA from 1 species